GACGAACGCUGGCGGCGUGCUUAACACAUGCAAGUCGAACGGAAAGGCCCUGCUUUUGUGGGGUGCUCGAGUGGCGAACGGGUGAGUAACACGUGAGUAACCUGCCCUUGACUUUGGGAUAACUUCAGGAAACUGGGGCUAAUACCGGAUAGGAGCUCCUGCUGCAUGGUGGGGGUUGGAAAGUUUCGGCGGUUGGGGAUGGACUCGCGGCUUAUCAGCUUGUUGGUGGGGUAGUGGCUUACCAAGGCUUUGACGGGUAGCCGGCCUGAGAGGGUGACCGGCCACAUUGGGACUGCGAUACGGCCCAGACUCCUACGGGAGGCAGCAGUGGGGAAUAUUGCACAAUGGGCCGAAGCCUGAUGCAGCAACGCCGCGUGCGUGAUGACGGCCUUCGGGUUGUAAACCGCUUUCGCCUGUGCCGAAGCGUGAGUGACGGUAAUGGGUAAAGAAGCACCGGCUAACUACGUG
rnacentral:rRNA from 1 species